UGAACACCCAGCUGCAGAGCGGAGGCUCAGAAAUGGAUGCUUGCUCACCUCCUGCAUGUGGUGUCCUAGAAAGCCUCUUGUUUCUCCAGCUGUCCUCCCCGGCAGCAUUGGCAUCACCUGGGAGAUUGCUAGAGAUGCAGAUCCCAGGCCCUCGCAGAUCCAUGGAGUCAUCACCUGCAUUUUAGCAAGAGUUCCAGGUUUUAUGGAUCCUGUGAGUCUGCUUAUCACAGUCAUUUGAAGAGAGAAACAACAACUGCCAAUCAUGAAACAGAGGAUGUGUGAGAUAUGGGCUUGCUGUGAACCAAGAUGAUCCAAAGGGGAUGCUGAAAGCUUAGCAGAACCAAAUACUCAAAUAGAAAAAAUGUGGCUGAUUUGCUUCAACAGCUUUCCGAGAUAAUAUACCAAAGUGGAAACUGAUAGCUUCUCCAGAUCAUACUUGCUCAUUCUGUCCCCGAUUCUUGGGCAGAACUCUGGUCUAGAGAGAACUUUCCUUAUUCCAAGAAGCACCGUGAGCAGAAGACCUAAAACAAGACCCAUAGAGUAAAGGGACAUGGGAAACAAAAUGGCAAAUCUGACAUCAGAAAAAAAUGAAGAAGAAAAUAAAUAAAAAAUAUAGCCUUCAUACUUUUAAGUAAAAUGAGUGUAAGCUAGUUGCAAAAGACAUAAAAUUAAUAAAAGAUAACAACUUAAUAAAAGAUAUCAAAUCUAAUCUGUCUCUCUCACAUGCACAGACACACACACACACACACACACACACACACACACACAAAGUGUUGAAAGGAUAAUCAGGCAGGCCGAUUUUAAGAAAUAAAUGUAAAAAUAAAGUCAUCAAAAACUGUCACCGCAUUAAGAACCUAAAGGAUUAAGAAAGACAACAUAGAAAAUAGCAUCCAUGAGCAUAGAAGGCUUGAAAUAAUCACAGAAAAAGAAAUGAAACAAAAAAAUUAGAAAGCGAUUAGAUACAAUAUUAUAGAUAUGGAAGUCAGAC
rnacentral:lncRNA from 1 species